rnacentral:rRNA from 1 species
AGAGCGAACGCUGGCGGCAGGCCUAAUACAUGCAAGUCGAACGGACCCUUCGGGGUUAGUGGCGGACGGGUGAGUAACACGUGGGAACGUGCCCUUUGGUUCGGAACAACUCAGGGAAACUUGAGCUAAUACCGAAUGUGCCCCCAUCCUUAAACAAGAUGGGUGGGAAAGAUUUAUCGCCAUUGGAGUGGCCCGCGUCUGAUUAGCUAGUUGGUGAGGUAAAGGCUCACCAAGGCGACGAUCAGUAGCUGGUCUGAGAGGAUGAUCAGCCACACUGGGACUGAGACACGGCCCAGACUCCUACGGGAGGCAGCAGUAGGGAAUCUUGCGCAAUGGGCGAAAGCCUGACGCAGCCAUGCCGCGUGGAGGUAGAAGGCCCACGGGUCGUAAACUCCUUUUCUCAGAGAAGAAGCAAUGACGGUAUCUGAGGAAUAAGCAUCGGCUAACUCUGUGCCAGCAGCCGC